GUGUUGGCAUGGCAAUACAGACAGUAAAAUAGAAAUAAGAAGAGAAGAAUAACACAGCCCCUGUGCAAAGGUGAUGCCCAAAUGUGUGAAGCAUUCAUAUUUUUC